UCAUCAUGCCCUUAUGACCUGGGCUACACACGUGCUACAAUGGUUGGUACAACGAGUUGCGAGUCGGUGACGGCGAGCUAAUCUCUUAAAGACCAAUCUCAGUUCGGAUUGUAGGCUGCAACUCGCCUACAUGAAGUCGGAAUCGCUAGUAAUCGCGGAUCAGCUACGCCGCGGUGAAUACGUUCGUCGGGCCUU
rnacentral:rRNA from 1 species